rnacentral:rRNA from 1 species
UACGAAGGGGGCUAGCGUUGCUCGGAAUCACUGGGCGUAAAGCGCGACGUAGGCGGACUCUUAAGUCGGUGGUGAAAUCCUGGAGCUCAACUCCAGAACUGCCUUCGAUACUGAGAGUCUCGAGUCCGAGAGAGGUGAGUGGAACUGCGAGUGUAGAGGUAGAAAUUCGUAGAUAUUCGCAAGAACACCAGUGGCGAAGGCGGCUCACUGGCCCGGUACUGACGCUGACGGUGACG